AGAAAACAGGGCAGUUGGUUUUCACUCGAAAUCAGGAGAUCUCUGGUUUUUCUUGUAUUUCAGAGUGUAUCGGUGGAGUUAGAAUCUCUAUUUGGAACAAGUUAAAGAGGUCGUGUGCGCGCGAUUCUGGAAGUGGUUCUGUUUUGAGGGUUAUAUGUGUUUAUGCACGGGGAAUCAGAUUUAUAUGUCUUCAGGCCGAGAAGAAUUAAACCGAGCUUAUAGACCAAGGAUCUAGCCCAAGACUGUAGAGAUCGACUUCCCGGUGCCUGAUAGACUGCCUUAGUCUGCGGAAGCUUCAUUAUCGAUUGCCAGUACAUGUUUUGAGUUGGGCAUAGAGUCUGUUGUGUUGUGGUGUAUAUACACCCUUGUAUGUUAUAGAUACUCCACAGUUUGUAUAAGCUUUAGGAGCCGUAGUUGUGUAAAUUUUGUUGGGUAUAUUUUGAUUAAGGUGUCUUUAGGUUUAUUCGUGAAAUCGGUAAAUUUUGAGGUACACUUCAUGUAUGUGUUUGACUAGCUGUGUUUGACUAGCCUAGGAUCCGCUGUGUUUUGUGGCAUGUACAAUAAUUUAUAUACUAGAUUGGCAAGUUCAUCACAUGAAAGUUUUAAGCAGAGUCGACAGAUACAGGUACAGAAAAGCGUUGUUUGUCAGCUUCACGCCAUCUUCCGGUCUAAGGUAGCAGGUAGUCCGGGAGGGGGUGUGACAGUAGUAGUGGUAGUCUUAGUGGUGGUAGUAGUAGAAGCUAGCAAAUUUUUUUUUUAAUAUUCUCGAUUGGCACUUCCUUUUUAUCGUC